UACGUAAGGACCGAGCGUUGUCCGGAAUCAUUGGGCGUAAAGGGCACGUAGGGGGUUAGAAAAGUUAGAAGUGAAAGGCUAUAGCUAAACUAUAGUAAGCAUUUAAAACUGUUUAACUUGAGAGAUGGAAGGGAAAGUGGAAUUCCUAGUGUAGCGGUGAAAUGCGCAGAUAUUAGGAGGAAUACCGGUGGCGAAGGCGGCUUUCUGGCCAAAAACUGACGCUGAGGUACGAAAGCGUGGGUAGCAAACAGG
rnacentral:rRNA from 1 species